GACGAACGCUGGCGGCGUGCCUAACACAUGCAAGUCGAACGGAAAAAUCAGCAAUGAUUUUUAGUGGCGAACGGGUGAGUAACGCGUAGACAACCUGCCUCGUAGAUGGGGACAACACUGCGAAAGUGGUGCUAAUACCGAAUGAAGUAUUUCGUGCGCAUGCACAAAAUACCAAAGGUGGCCUCUAUAUAUAAGCUACCACUAUGAGAGGGGUCUGCGUCUGAUUAGCUAGUUGGUGGGGUAAUGGCUCACCAAGGCGACGAUCAGUAGCCGGUCUGAGAGGAUGAACGGCCACACUGGGACUGAGACACGGCCCAGACUCCUACGGGAGG
rnacentral:rRNA from 1 species